rnacentral:misc_RNA from 1 species
CGAGCUUGAAUUCAUGAUACUCCAAGCAGAUUCUGGAUAUCUUUCUCUAUUUUUAAUGGUGAGGUUGUAGGCGCAUAUCGCUCGACCACUUUGCCAUCUUUGUUCACGAGAAACUUAGUGAAGUUCCACUUGAUGCGAUCCCCGAGAAACCCACCUUUCUCGGCCUUCAAGUACUUGUAGAGGGGUGCAGUAUUCUUCCCAUUCACUUCAAUCUUAUCAAAGACAGGGAACUCAGCUUUGAACAUGGUGCAAACUGUCUCCUGAAUUUCCUCAUUGUUUCCAGGUUCUUGACCACCGAACUGGUUGCAAGGAAAUGCCAGAAUCUCAAAUCCUUUAUCUUUGUACUUUUCAUACAAAACAUUCAUUUCCUUGUAGUUAGAAUGGGUAAAGCCACAUUUAGAG